AUUGAACGCUGGCGGCAGGCCUAACACAUGCAAGUCGAACGAGUGGCGGACGGGUGAGUAAUGUCUGGGAAACUGCCCGAUGGAGGGGGAUAACUACUGGAAACGGUAGCUAAUACCGCAUACCAUCGGAUGUGCCCAGAUGGGAUUAGCUAGUAGGUGGGGUAAAGGCUCACCUAGGCGACGAUCCCUAGCUGGUCUGAGAGGAUGACCAGCAACACUGGAACUGAGACACGGUCCAGACGCCUACGCGAGGCAGCAGUGGGGAAUAUCGCACAAUGGGCGCAAGUCUGAUCCAGCCAUGCCGCUUGUAGCAAGAAGGCCUUCGGGUUGUAAAGUACUUUCAGCGGUGAGGCGUUACCCGAAGAAGAAGCACCGGCUAACUCCGUGCCAGCAGCCGCGGUAAUUC
rnacentral:rRNA from 1 species